GCUGCGGCUGGAGGCAGCGCCCGGUGCCCCGCGCGGAGCGAGGUCCUGGCGUGGGGCCGCGCGACGGGGCCGCGUCCUGCCCCUCAGGCCCGGGGCGCGUCGACUCCCGCGCUCCGCCAGCUCCCGGUGGUUUCUCGGAAACAUGAUUGUUGGACUUGAUCUCACAGCCUGGUGAGGACUUCUCUACUGCGAAUGUCAAGUUCAGGUUAUCCUCCCACCUCUGUCUAGUAUACCUAUCCCAACACCCACCACCAGCAGAAACCUCCUGCAAACAGACUAGAAGAUUCUUCAUUUCUAAUUUUCUGCAAGCAACUCGGGAGUCCGGGGCUACACCAAUCAGAAGACCAGGCGCCAACCCUCUCUCUUGGGACGGUGACUUUCUGAGGAAGCCGUGUCCCUGAUCCCCAUCACCGUGCCCAUCGGGUCCCACCUCCUGCACCCACUCCCGGAUGGCAGCUUGCAACAACUGGGUGGGAAACCGAGGAACGUGGGGCUGGACUGUGUUGCCUGAGCUGCGUUGACCACUGAAGUCGAUCCUGCCACUGGCUAUGGGGGUUCCAAAGCGAACAGAGAGGAUGGGCACAAAAUGAUCAAAGUGGAAUUUUCCAGGACCGAAGGGUUACAAGUCUAGAGAGACAGGAAUUUUUACAUUACGAAGGGCUACAGAUUGCCAAGUAGGCUGAAAUCUUCUCACAUACCCUUGUAUGUUUUUAAAGGAAAGGGAAACCAAAGAAUUUUGUUUGUAAUUAAGGUUCUUCCUGGGAAUGGGAGUGUGAAGAUCUUUCAUUUUCCAUCGUGUAUAUUUCUAUAUUAUUUGGAUUUUAUUCUGACAAUGACAUUAUAAUCCAAAAAUUAAAAAUAUUUCUAUU